rnacentral:lncRNA from 1 species
CAGGAGCACUGCUGAUCCUGAAGAAGUUCUCUUUGGGUUGAUCUUGUGAAAUAUUUUAUAUUUAUUUUCCUCAGCUGUGUAUCUGUGUUUAUAUCUGUCCAGUUAAAGUCCACUUCCUGGUCACUGGAAAAGCCCUGGGUGCUGACCAGGUGUUCAAAGACAAGCUGAUGAAGAGCACUGGGAUUGAAGAGAGCACUGAGGAAGAGUGUGAUGCGCUCGUAGUCUUCUGUCCCGUCAGCUCUCGGAUAGGGACUGACAUCGACGCUGCCCUCCAGAACAUUCCAGGGGACAAGCCCGCCGCCCUGGUGGUGAUGCACCACACCUACAACCCCGAGGCAGUUGUGGCUGAGAGCAGCAGACUGGUGACCAGGAGAGACACUGUGACUGUGGACUGUCUGUUCCAUGAGACAGUCGGGCUGCUGGACAACUGUCCCAUCAAUGAGCAGGCUGUGAGACGGGUCUCUGAUAGAUUAAAGAAGUUUGUUGAGUAAAAAAAAUAAAUAAAUACUGCUCCACUGAGUGCAGCCUUUCACAAAGAAAAUUAUCCUUUAACAGUAGAUUAAUAAAAAAGCGUGAUGGUGAGGUAAUAUUCUUGAAUAUUAUGAACAAAAUGCCAAGAGUUUCAGUAGAGGUCAGGGACAGUUCAAAACAGACUUUCUGAAGGAUGAAGGAUAAAGGUAUUAAAACUGAAUGUAUAAAAUCUUUUGACUGCUGAACAGUCUGCUUGCGGUUUUAUAAAAUAUCCCUUGAUCAGCGACGUGCAGUGUUUUAUUUUCGUAACUGACGGUGCCAUGUACCCGUUACCCGGAAACUCUUAAAGACUUAC